CGACAUGGCAUUGAAGCACGCGGUUAUCCCGAACCGCGUCAUCGACGGCGACAGCGACGCCCCGCACCCGACCUCCGCCGCGCGCGCCCAUCCGACCCUGCCCUACAAGUUUCCAAGAAAAUUAUGACAGCCUCAACAAGUACUGAAUGAAAAGAAGAUCUGACAACUGCUCCCUCUGUCUCAUAAUAUACAGAAACAUCAGAAACUUGUGUACCUUCCAAAUGGACCAAACACUUUGUUGAUCGCUUGGAGAAAAUAUAUGCUUUGAGGAAGAAGAAUUGUUGUCGCGCUACCUACGUAAGAAGGUUGCCGCAUAAGUAAUCAGGUUGAUCAUGAGCUUAACACUAAGCAGUUACAGAAAAUAGUAGAGAUGAAG
rnacentral:lncRNA from 1 species